rnacentral:rRNA from 1 species
CCUACGGGAGGCAGCAGUGAGGAAUAUUGGUCAAUGGACGAGAGUCUGAACCAGCCAAGUAGCGUGAAGGAUGACUGCCCUAUGGGUUGUAAACUUCUUUUAUAAAGGAAUAAACGAUGCACGUGUGCCUUUUUGCAUGUACUUUAUGAAUAAGGAUCGGCUAACGCCGUGCCAGCAGCCGCGGUAAUACGGAGGAGCCGAGCGUUAUCCGGAUUUAUUUGGGUUAAAGGGAGCGUAGAGGGGUUGUUAAGUCAGUUGUGAAAGUUUGCGGCUCAACCGUAAAAUUGCACUUGAUACUGGGAGGCUUGAGUACAGUUGAGGUAGGCGGAAUUCGUGGUGUAGCGGUGAAAUGCUUAGAUAUCACGAAGAACCCCGAUUGCGAAGGCAGCUUACUAAACUGUGACUGACAUUGAUGCUCGAAAGUGUGGGGAUCAAACAGGAUUAGAUACCCGUGUAGUC